rnacentral:rRNA from 1 species
UACAGAGGUCCCAAGCGUUGUUCGGAUUCACUGGGCGUAAAGGGUGCGUAGGCGGUCGGGUAAGUCUGAUGUGAAAUCUCACAGCUUAACUGUGAAACUGCAUUGGAUACUAUCCGGCUAGAGGAAUGGGGGGGGAGACUGGAAUACUUGGUGUAGCAGUGAAAUGCGUAGAUAUCAAGUGGAACACCAGUGGCGAAGGCGAGUCUCUGGACAUUUCCUGACGCUGAGGCACGAAAGCCAGGGGAGCAAACGGG